rnacentral:rRNA from 1 species
GGGCAGUUUGACUGGGGCGGUCACCUCCUAAAGAGUAACGGAGGUGUGCAAAAGGUAAGCUUGAGUUGAGAACCAACUUUUAAGUAUAAUAAUAAAUGCUUGCCUGACUGUAAGAUUGACAAAUCAAGCAGGGACGAAAGUCGGUUAUAGUGAUCCGGUGGUUCUGAGUGGAAAAGGCCAUCGCUCAACGAAUAAAAGGUACGCCGGGGAUAACAGGCUUAUCGCCCCCAAGAGUUCAUAUCGACGGGGCGGUUUGGCACCUCGAUGUCGGCU